AUUACCGAGUUUACAACUCCCAAACCCAAUGUGAACGUUACCAAACUGUUGCCUCGGCGGGAUCUCUGCCCCGGGUGCGUCGCAGCCCCGGACCAAGGCGCCCGCCGGAGGACCAACCAAAACUCUUAUUGUAUACCCCCUCGCGGGUUUUUUUAUAAUCUGAGCCUUCUCGGCGCCUCUCGUAGGCGUUUCGAAAAUGAAUCAAAACUUUCAACAACGGAUCUCUUGGUUCUGGCAUCGAUGAAGAACGCAGCGAAAUGCGAUAAGUAAUGUGAAUUGCAGAAUUCAGUGAAUCAUCGAAUCUUUGAACGCACAUUGCGCCCGCCAGUAUUCUGGCGGGCAUGCCUGUCCGAGCGUCAUUUCAACCCUCGAACCCCUCCGGGGGGUCGGCGUUGGGGAUCGGCCCUCCCUUAGCGGGUGGCCGUCUCCGAAAUACAGUGGCGGUCUCGCCGCAGCCUCUCCUGCGCAGUAGUUUGCACACUCGCAUCGGGAGCGCGGCGCGUCCACAGCCGUUAAACACCCAACUUCUGAAAUGUUGACC
rnacentral:rRNA from 1 species